CUGGCCCUGAAUCAAGGCCGGCAGUUUUCUGAAGCUGUUGGUUUCAAGCAGGAGCCUAAAGAGAUGUCUUUCUAUAGUCUGUUGGCCAUUUCAGAACUUGGCAAAUGGAAUGGUCAAUUCAUUAGAAAGAAACAGUA
ensembl:snoRNA